AUUAUUGGUCAUUGGAGGCAACUCUGUCCCAGCCAUGCCGCGUGCAGGAUGACGGCCCUAUGUAUUGUAAACUGCUUUUGUACAGUAAGAAAAAGAGUUACGAGUAGCUUAUUGCCGGUACUGUAAGAACAAGGAUCGGCUAACUCCGUGCCAGCAGCCGCGGUAAUACGGAGGAUCCAAGCGUUAUCCGGAAUCAUUGGGUUUAAAGGGUCCGUAGGCGGCCUUAUAAGUCAGCGGUGAAAGUUUUUGGCUUAACCAAAAAAUUGCCGUUGAUACUGGAGGGCUUGAAUUUUGGUGAAGUAACUAGAAUAAGUAGUGUAGCGGUGAAAUGCUUAGAUAUUACAAGGAAUACCAAUGGCGAAGGCAAGUUACUAACAAGCGAUUGACGCUGAGGGACGAAAGCGUGGGGAGCGAACAG
rnacentral:rRNA from 1 species